CCUACGGGAGGCAGCAGCUAAGAAUCUUCCGCAAUGGGGGAACCCUGACGCAGCAACGCCGCGUGGGUGAAGAAGGCCUUCGGGUCGUAAAGCCCUUUCGGACGGGACGAACGCUCCGCGGUGACAACCCGCGGAGUCUGACGGUACCGUAAGAAGAAGCACCGGCUAACUCCGUGCCAGCAGCCGCGGUAAUACGGAGGGUGCAAGCGUUGUUCGGAAUUACUGGGCGUAAAGCGCGUGUAGGCGGCCUUGCAAGCCAGACGUGAAAGCCCUCGGCUUAACCGGGGAAGUGCGUCUGGAACUGCUCGGCUCGAGUACGGGAGAGGGAGGCGGAAUUCCCAGUGUAGAGGUGAAAUUCGUAGAUAUUGGGAGGAACACCGGUGGCGAAAGCGGCCUCCUGGACCGAUACUGACGCUGAGACGCGAAAGCGUGGGGAGCAAACAGGAUUAGAUACCCUGGUAGUCCACGCGGUAAACGAUGGGCACUAGGUGUGGGGGGUAUCCACUCCUCCCGUGCCGCAGCUAACGCACUAAGUGCCCCGCCUGGGGAGUACGGCCGCAAGGUUAAAACUCAAAGGAAUUGACGG
rnacentral:rRNA from 1 species